UGGCAAAGCAAAAAGAGGAGAAAGCAAAGACUGCUCUGGCCAAGCAGUGCACAUUUUCUGUCAAACUCCAGGGAGAUCCCUGAAGAUAUGGGGUGGAGUUAGUAGGGGAAAAUUUUGGUUGCAAAGGGAUCACUAUAUUUGUUCUCACCAUGGAAGUGAAACCAGGACAAGUGGUAAUCCUGUUUUCCUGUUUAUGAAAUAUCUCACUUCCUUAGAUUCUUUUUGAGUUUUAUGGCUAUCUAUAGACGUGGAAAUUGAGCUGAAGCCAAACAGAUCUGGCCUUAUUUCCCAUGGGCCUGUGCACCACCAAUUUGGAUCUGAGAUCAGACAUAACCUUGCCAUAAGCAGCAAAGGGCUUGGUGAACCCUCAAAAAGGCUGUCAAACACCCAGAGGCCUUGGGGAUCAGGAAGGAGCUAUCAUGUGGUCUUUCAUGUCCUGUAGAACAUAGCUGCGCCUGGAAUUGAAUGAUCGUGUUUUCCGUGCAGAGCUAUCUGCCUUUGGACAGGAGGAGAACUCUCAGCACCAUUCCCUUUCCACGGGAGCUUCUUUUUUCUCAUUCUUUUUCUUGCCUCCCUCAACUCCCAUCCUCUGUUCUGGGAGAAGGUGAAGCUGGCCUGACAGGCCUGAGGGAAGCCGGACGGAGGCACACUUGCCAGCUUUUAGUUGAGGGAGGCACCGCAGCAAGGCUCUCCAGUCCCUCCUUCCCUGGGAGCACCAGCUCUGAUUCUAGUGGGCAGCUGCAGCUAAGACGAAGACAAAUGAAUCCAGAGACUUCUCUCGAGCUAUGAGCCUGAGCCAAAGGCACAGCCCAGCUGUCCAGAGAGCUUUGUGACAGAACAUGGGGGGCCAGCUGACAGGAACCGAGGCACUUUUAAAUUUAGCACUUGUCCUCGCCCUUUCGGUUCACGAUUUCUUGGAAGUUUCAUUUGGAAAAAGAGGUGAGGGACAGAAGUAGAAGUUGGGAAUUCUAGAUCCCUUGAUUCUAGAAUAUUCUAAGAUCUUCCAAACUAACCCUGAUUCCUAAAAACAGAAUAGGACAAUCUUGUUUUCGGUAUUGAGAAUAGCAAAUAUAGAAAUCCCUUAAUUCUUUGACUUAGCUUAGCAGGUGCAAUUAGUUCUAUCCCUAAGCCUUCUUACCAGAAAAUUUUCUAGUGUAAAAUGAUUGGAUGGGAUACCAAUUGGGAUGGGUGUGGUAAUAGUAAAACCAUAUUCUUUAAUAACUUUUUCUUAUUUGUUUUCCUGGAAUUUUGGUUGGCAUUUUUUAAUGAAUUACAUGCUUAUUUUUAAAAAUUAUUAUGAUGGAGAAUUUUUGUUAGGCAGAAUUUCAAAUCUGUCAUCUGCUGUUGACUCUUACUUUCACUACAAAUUUACGAAGGUAGAGAGACCCAGUUCUUACUUAAGUUAUAUCUAACAUAAAAAUACAAUUCUGUCCCAAUCUGUUCAUUUAAAGGGUAAAUUUAUAGCAUCUGUUCAACUUUAUAUGCUAUCUCAAAAUUGUCAACAUUUUAAGCAAGGUGCUACCUAAUUUUAAUGGGUGCACAAGAGGGAAAAGUGGGUCAUUGACUUCAAAGGCGAAACUAUAAGCUAUUAAUGGGCUACGUUGUGCUGAAUUACAAUCUCUUUUCUUGUUUCAAGUUAAAAUUUUUAAGUGGCCACAUGUUUGGCAUUGUAAUUGAUACCACAAUGCUGCUGUUCCUUGACUCAUUCAUUCUCAAAUGUAUAUAUAUAUAUAUUCUUAGUUCACAAAUUUCUAUUUCUUUUACACAAGUUGCUAUUUCUUGUAGUGUUCAUGAACUGGGUAUGCUGUCCUUUGUAAUGAAAGACUACAGACUGCCAUGAAUAGUACCUUGGCUUCUUUUUUUACAGUGUGGAAUGAGAGCAUUUAUUAUUGUUGCAUUAUUGUAUUUUUGAAUAAAAAUCCCUAUUCCCACUGUACCAAAUCAAAUGAGCUUGUGUUGAAUUUUAUUCAUCAGAAUUGUGGUUAAUGCAGUCCUCAGCUAUGGCACUAGUUAGGGCCUGCCCAGGACUGCUGAAGAGCUGGCUUUGUGAUUUACCUGGCUCAGUAUGUGAUCAAGCAUCUCCAUUAUUGGAAUAAAAUAAAAACUUUCAAGAUCAUGGUUGUGCAAUAGAGAAAACAAUUUUACCUCUGCACUAACACUCAAAUGCUACACUAAUCUACAGUAAUUCUGUUAUUGCAUUUGGAAGCAAUUCCUUCUAUUCAUUCAGAGAUAACUGUUACAAUACAAUAGGCUGCCUCCUGCCUUUUCCCCUCAGUGAGCAAAAUAUGCUGUUCAUUGCAAAGUAACCUAACAGUAGUAGGUUUACGUGUUUGUUUCUAUGUGAAUUAACGUGUGCAUGAAGACCAUCAGGAGGCUUGGUUUGUAUUAUGAGGCUAUAGGAAAACAUGUACAUAG
rnacentral:lncRNA from 1 species